GAUGAACGCUAGCGGCAGGCUUAAUACAUGCAAGUCGAGGGACAGCACAGGUAGCAAUACUGGGUGGUAACCGGCAAACGGGUGCGGAACACGUACACAACCUUCCUUUAAGUGGGGGAUAGCCCAGAGAAAUUUGGAUUAAUACCCCGUAAUAUAGUUGAAUGGCAUCAUUUGAUUAUUAUAGCUACGGCGCUUAAUGAUGGGUGUGCGGCUGAUUAGAUAGUUGGCGGGGUAACGGCCCACCAAGUCUACGAUCAGUAACUGAUGUGAGAGAAUGAUCAGCCACACGGGCACUGCGACACGGGCCCGACUCCUACGGGAGGCAGCAGUAAGGAAUAUUGGUCAAUGGACGCAAGUCUGAACCAGCCAUGCCGCGUGAAGGAUUAAGGUCCUCUGGAUUGUAAACUUCUUUUAUUUGGGACGAAAAAGGGCCUUUCUAGGUCAACUGACGGUACCAGAUGAAUAAGCACCGGCUAACUCCGUGCCAGCCGCCGCCGUAACAC
rnacentral:rRNA from 1 species